rnacentral:rRNA from 1 species
GAACUGAGACACGGUCCAGACUCCUACGGGAGGCAGCAGUGAGGAAUCUUGCGCAAUGGGGGAAACCCUGACGCAGCAACGCCGCGUGAGUGAGGAAGGUCUUCGGAUCGUAAAGCUCUGUCAGUUGGAAAGAAAUGUCUGAGAGUCAAUCCCUUUCAGGCUUGACGGUACCAACAGAGGAAGCACCGGCUAACUCCGUGCCAGCAGCCGCGGUAAUACGGGGGGUGCAAGCGUUGUUCGGAAUUAUUGGGCGUAAAGAGCGUGUAGGCGGCCGGAUAUGUCAGAUGUGAAAGCCCCGGGCUUAACCCGGGAAGUGCAUUUGAAACUGUCCGGCUCGAGUAGGGGAGAGGGAAGUGGAAUUCCUGGUGUAGAGGUGAAAUUCGUAGAUAUCAGGAGGAACACCGGUGGCGAAGGCGACUUCCUGGCCCUAUACUGACGCUGAGACGCGAGAGCGUGGGUAGCAAACAGGAUUAGAUACCCUGGUAGUCCACGCCGUAAACGAUGUUCACUAGGUGUUGGGGGUAUUGACCCCCUCAGUGCCGGAGCUAACGCA